rnacentral:piRNA from 1 species
UCCUCAGUGCAGGUUUCCUGGGUCUCAGC